GUUUGAUCCUGGCUCAGGAUGAACGCUAGCGGCAGGCCUAAUACAUGCAAGUCGAGGGCAGCAGGGAUAGCAAUAUUCGCUGGCGACCGGCGCACGGGUGCGUAACACGUAUACAAUCUGCCUUUAACGAGGGGGAUAGCCCGGAGAAAUCCGGAUUAACUACCCCAUAAUAGAUUGACUGGCAUCAGGUUGUAUUUGAAAGCUCCGGCGGUUAGAGAUGAGUAUGCGUCUGAUUAGCUAGUUGGUGAGGUAACGGCUCACCGAGGCGACGAUCAGUAGGGGAUCUGAGAGGAUUAACCCCCACACGGAUACUGAGACACGGAUCCGACUCCUACGGGAGGCAGCAGUGGGAAUUUUGGACAAUGGGCGAAAGCCUGAUCCAGCCAUGCCGCGUGAGUGAAGAAGGCCUUCGGGUUGUAAAGCUCUUUCGGUGGGGAAGAAAUUGCAUGGGUUAAUACCCUGUGUAGAUGACGGUACCUGGAGAAGAAGCACCGGCUAACUACGUG
rnacentral:rRNA from 1 species